UAGUGUUACAUCUGGUGUUAGAAUUUGUCUAGCAGGCUUUCUGGUUUGGCCAAAAAGCCACC
ensembl:snRNA U7 U7 small nuclear RNA